UACAGAGGUGGCGAGCGUUGUUCGGAUUUACUGGGCGUAAAGGGUGCGUAGGCGGUCUUGUGUGUCGGGUGUGAAAUCUUGCAGCUCAACUGCAAAACGGCAUCCGAAACUACAGAACUAGAGGUCAGGAGAGGAAAGCGGAAUUCUCGGUGUAGCGGUGAAAUGCGUAGAUAUCGAGAGGAACACCGGUGGCGAAGGCGGCUUUCUGGACUGAUUCUGACGCUGAGGCACGAAGGCCGGGGGAGCAAACAGG
rnacentral:rRNA from 1 species